rnacentral:rRNA from 1 species
GACGAACGCUGGCGGCGUGCUUAACACAUGCAAGUCGAACGGAAAGGCCCUGCUUUUGUGGGGUGCUCGAGUGGCGAACGGGUGAGUAACACGUGAGUAACCUGCCCUUGACUUUGGGAUAACUUCAGGAAACUGGGGCUAAUACCGGAUAGGAGCUCCUGCUGCAUGGUGGGGGUUGGAAAGUUUCGGCGGUUGGGGAUGGACUCGCGGCUUAUCAGCUUGUUGGUGGGGUAGUGGCUUACCCAGGCUUUGACGGGUAGUCGGCCUGAGAGGGGGAACGGCCACAUUGGGACUGAGGUACGGCCCAGACUCCUACGGGAGGCAGCAGUGGGGAAUAUUGCACAAUGGGCGGAAGCCUGAUGCAGCAACGCCGCGUGCGGGAUGACGGCCUUCGGGUGGUAAACCGCUUUCGCCUGUGACGAAGCGUGAGUGACGGUAAUGGGUAAAGAAGCACCGGCUAACUACGUG